UACGGAGGGUGCGAGCGUUGUCCGGAAUCACUGGGCGUAAAGGGCGCGUAGGCGGCUCGUUAAGUGGCUGGUGAAAUCCCGGGGCUCAACUCCGGGGCUGCCGGUCAUACUGGCGAGCUGGAGCACGGGUAGAGGCGGAUGGAAUUCCCGGUGUAGCGGUGGAAUGCGUAGAUAUCGGGAAGAAUACCGGUGGCGAAGGCGUUCCGGCUGGGCCGUUGCUGACGCUGAGGCGCGACAGCGUGGGGGAGCAAACAGG
rnacentral:rRNA from 1 species